rnacentral:tRNA from 1 species
AAGACUUUAAGUUAAAAAUAAACUAUUACCCUUCAAAGCUAAAAAUAAAGGCUUAUAAUCUUUAAGUCUUA